CCCGGUGAUCAUAGCCGGAGGGCCACACCCGUUUCCAUUUCGAACACGGUAGUUAAGCCUCCGACGCCGAUGAUAGUGCCAAAAGCGCGAAAGUAGGUCGUUGCCGGGU
rnacentral:rRNA from 1 species